ensembl:lncRNA
GGAAAUCAGCACCACCCUUUCUGUUAACUAAUAGGCCUAUCUCACGAAAAUCGGAAAUGACGUCACACCGGGUAAACAUUCUUCCGGCGUAGUCAUUUUUGUAUUGCCGUCAAUGCUAAAAUGGAUCGUUUCUUCGCCACUUCCCUGGUGGGUAUUCCCAAAUUGCGAUUCGAAGAUGUGCAGAAGAUUGUGGAGACACACUCAGCAACACCACAGCCCAGGCUGACAAAGGGGUACAAGUUUUUUGUGGAGGAGUUUGUACACAAUUAUCAAGAUCACCCUGGAGGCUGUUGGACAACUGGGUCUCUCAGAGCUGUAGCUGUGCUGCGGGCAAAGGCUUCUGUAGCCAUAUAACCGCUCUGCUGUUCCAGACAGCGCAUUAUGUGCAGCUGGGCCUUGAUGUGGUUCCACCUUCCCUGGCCUGUACCAGUCAACCACAGAUGUGGCACGACCUCGAACCCACGUGUGCUGUUGUGUCCUCUGUUCAAAUCAUACACUUCAGUAUUUGUCUAGAGUAUAUGAGCAUUUCCUGUAUUGUUGUUCGCCUCAGGAAUCCAUCGAGAGGCUGUGAGUGACCUGGUGGUGAAGAAACCCAAGUCGGUGGGGAAGACUGGAGUCAAGUCCACACUCUACAGAGCGUAUGCUGAGGGAAUAUCCAGCUUGGAGUUGGUACCAUCUCAGCUGUGCUGACCUGGAAGAUGUCAGCAAUGACCUGUUCUUUAAGGCCAGUUGCUACUCUACAACAGUAGAUGAAAAACUCAUCAAUGACUGGAAUCUUCCUUGAAGGGCAUGGUGUUGGAAUCGCCUCUUGUCCAAUCCUCUGUGCUUUGCUCCAAUAAAGAAUAUAUUGUGUUGAGGGGCAAAACAGACUCCCAAAACACUUGAAACACGGAAACCGAGAAUAAUAUGUCAUGGUCUGAUCAGACACACAAAACCUGUUGAGGACAGUUUGUGGACCCAUGGACAUUUCUUGCAGCCUUGCCUCCAGCUCAGCAAUAUACUCCAGGGCAUCAUCCAGUGCACCUACAAAAAAAGAAGACAAAUCAGUCUUCAUUACCAUUCAUUCGUAUUCACCCUUUCUUUUUUAUUGUAUUGUUAUUCUGUAUACUUAAGUUUAUUUAUAUUUCUUAUUAUUACAUUUAUUUGUACUGUUUUCUGUUUUUCUUUUUUAUGUAUUAACUAUAGGUGGAGUGUACAUAGAGUAAAAACCAAAGUCAAAUUCCUCGUUUGUUCGCAAACCUGGCCAAUAAAGCUGAAUCUGAAUUAAUAUGCAACCCCAGUUUAACAGUACGUCUGAUGUUGAUUGAAUGUUUUAACGUUAACCAUGCCAUGUUUGGCAAAAUUAUACAAUAGCCCAACAAGUGUUGAACACAAAUAACAGAC